GACCAAGGAGUCUAACGGGCACGCAAGUCGAAGGGCCGUAUACGAAGCCCCUAGGCGCAAUGAAAGUAAAGGGCGGUGUAGAUCGUCCGAGGUGGGAUCCGCGUCCUCUGGGCGCGGCGCACCACCGCCCCGUCUCGUCCGCUUAGCUCGGUGAGGCGGAGGAAGAGCGUGUACGCUAGGAUAUGCCCGAGCAGGAUGAAGCCAGAGGAAACUCUGGUGGAGGUCCGCAGCGAUUCUGACGUGCAAAUCGAUCGCCCGACUUGGGUAUAGGGGCGAAAGACUAAUCGAACCAUCUA
rnacentral:rRNA from 1 species